UACAGAGGGUGCGAGCGUUUAAUCGGAAUUACUGGGCGUAAAGCGUGCGUAGACGGUUACGUAAGUCGGGUGUGAAAGCCCCGGGCUCAACCUGGGAAUUGCAUUCGAGACUGCGUAGCUAGGGUGCGGAAGAGGGAAGCGGAAUUUCCGGUGUAGCGGUGAAAUGCGUAGAUAUCUGGAGGAACACCGGUGGCGAAGGCGGCAUCCUGGACCGGUAUUGACGCUGAGGCGCGAAAGCCAGGGGAGCAAAGCGGG
rnacentral:rRNA from 1 species